rnacentral:piRNA from 1 species
UCUGUCUGAGAAACCCAUUGU